rnacentral:sRNA from 1 species
AAUAAAACUUUGAUGCAGAGACUAUGAAAGGACACAUGGAAAGUCAAGUUGACAGUAAGAGUAGGAAGGAUAUAGCCAUGGUCCACUAAAUGGAGUUGAAAUAACACAUAAUGCCAUGGUUUGUUAACUGCAAUAACUGGAGGAGUUGGAGGGCCCUUGACAUAUCCAGUAGAAAAUGGAAAAUAGUUCAUUUAGGUACAUCAUCCUUUUAGAUAUUUCAAUAUUUAAGAUAAGAGUGAAGACAGAGAAGACAGAAUAUCAGUGAGAAAUCAGAGUCAGAGAUAGAAAUUGUUACCACUUGGAAGGACAUGGGGCAAGGUGUAUGAUAUUCACUAAAGAAAUUACUACUGAUGCUUUCUUCAGUGGAGAAAACUGUUAGGGUGAAAUUGCUAGAAAUAUAUUUUUCCUUCAGGUCUAGGAGUAGUAGAGAGACCAUAUGUUCCUCAAUUAGGCACAUAUGAUGUGAUACCCUUAAAUAAUGAACAAAGUUCAGGGCCAGUCCCUGAAACGGUGCGAAGCUAUUUUCCUGAGACUUGGAUCUGGGAGUUGGUGGCAGUGAACUCAUCAGGUGUGGCUGAGGUAGGAGUAACAGUCCCUGACACCAUCACCGAGUGGAAGGCAGGGGCCUUCUGCCUGUCCGAAGAUGCUGGACUUGGUAUCUCUUCCACUGCCUCUCUCCGAGCCUUCCAGCCCUUCUUUGUGGAGCUCACAAUGCCUUACUCUGUGAUUCGUGGAGAGGUCUUCACACUCAAGGCCACGGUCCUAAACUACCUUCCCAAAUGCAUCCGGGUCAGUGUGCAGCUGAAAGCCUCUCCAGCCUUCCUAGCUUCCCAAAAUACAAAGGGAGAAGAAUCCUAUUGUAUCUGUGGAAAUGAGAGGCAAACCUUGUCUUGGACAGUGACUCCUAAAACUCUGGGGAAUGUGAACUUCUCAGUGAGUGCAGAGGCAAUGCAGUCCCUAGAACUCUGUGGAAAUGAGGUUGCUGAGGUCCCUGAGAUUAAAAGAAAAGACACAGUCAUCAAAACCCUGUUGGUGGAGGCUGAAGGUAUUGAGCAAGAAAAGACUUUCAGUUCCAUGACCUGUGUCUCAGAUGAAGACAUUGAGCCCAAGAGAGCAAGUUAAUGUGACUCAGGUGGUACAGAUAGGACUAAUACCUGGGCUUUCUUGGUUCAUACGUAGCUCUUUUACCCGGAUAGCCCAGUGGCUGCUCACUGACAAGCCCAGCUGCAGAAGCUUAGAGUGUCCCAGGAUGAGGUGCUAAUGUGUCUGAGCAGUUGUCCUUGAAGCUCCCAUCAAAUGUGGUCAAAGAAUCUGCCAGAGCUUCUUUCUCAGUUCUGGGUGACAUAUUAGGUUCUGCUAUGCAAAAUAUACAAAAUCUCCUCCAGAUGCCAUAUGG